rnacentral:rRNA from 1 species
UACGUAGGGUGCGAGCGUUAAUCGGAAUUACUGGGCGUAAAGCGUGCGCAGGCGGUUCGCUAAGACCGAUGUGAAAUCCCCGGGCUUAACCUGGGAACUGCAUUGGUGACUGGCGGGCUAGAGUAUGGCAGAGGGGGGUAGAAUUCCACGUGUAGCAGCGAAAUGCGUAGAGAUGUGGAGGAAUACCGAUGGCGAAGGCAGCCCCCUGGGCCAAUACUGACGCUCAUGCACGAAAGCGUGGGGAGCAAACAGG